rnacentral:ribozyme from 14 species
CAAAAAAGAACGAAACGGAUAAAGAUGAACGAGCCAAAAAAAGAAAACACCUUAAUUUUUUUUCCCUAGUAAAGAUUUUGUUUUUUCA